GGGGUAGUAGCUCAGUUGGUAGAGCACCAUGCUUUUAACAUGGUAAAUGGAUUAGGUUUCCAUUUUCA
rnacentral:tRNA from 1 species